GUCACGGCAGGAGCGGGCGACAGAAUCCGGUCUCGGAGCCUCCUGUAGCGAGCCUGCAGCAGCUGAAUUCGAACCCAGAGACUUCAGGCCUUUGCGUUGUUACCGCAGUCCGCAUUUCAAAGCCAGAGUUUGGCCACUGAGUCACCAUGACCUCGAGUACUGGCGGGGCCCGAGCCAGCAGAGCUAGCCACAGGAGGGAGCCUCCCAGGUGGUCGACCGGAGCCAGGUGCUGCCAGGCACCCGACUGCAGAGCUUGCCCUCCAGGUGAUCUCGCAGUAUCGGUGUUCACAAGCCCUGUAAGGCACUCGGGGUAUCCUGAAGGCUACAGAUUCUGCAAGGGCAGAGACUUUAAGGAACAGCCAUAGUCCUUCUCCAGCUCAAAAUCUGGACCAUGGGCACAAGGUAAACAACACACUGGUGUCAACAAAGGAAUCUGCUAUUUAUGUGGAUUUUUACUUUAGACAAACUAAAGUAUCUAUGUUGUUCUGUGUGUUGAACACAGAG
rnacentral:lncRNA from 1 species